rnacentral:rRNA from 1 species
AGUCGAGCGGGGAAGGGUAGCUUGCUACCUGACCUAGCGGCGGACGGGUGAGUAAUGCUUAGGAAUCUGCCUAUUAGUGGGGGACAACAUUCCGAAAGGAAUGCUAAUACCGCAUACGCCCUACGGGGGAAAGCAGGGGAUCUUCGGACCUUGCGCUAAUAGAUGAGCCUAAGUCAGAUUAGCUAGUUGGUGGGGUAAAGGCCUACCAAGGCGACGAUCUGUAGCGGGUCUGAGAGGAUGAUCCGCCACACUGGGACUGAGACACGGCCCAGACUCCUACGGGAGGCAGCAGUGGGGAAUAUUGGACAAUGGGCGAAAGCCUGAUCCAGCCAUGCCGCGUGUGUGAAGAAGGCCUUUUGGUUGUAAAGCACUUUAAGCGAGGAGGAGGCUACUUGGAUUAAUACUCUAGGAUAGUGGACGUUACUCGCAGAAUAAGCACCGGCUAACUCUGUGCCAGCAGCCGCGGUAAUACAGAGGGUGCGAGCGUUAAUCGGAUUUACUGGGCGUAAAGCGUGCGUAGGCGGCUUUUUAAGUCGGAUGUGAAAUCCCUGAGCUUAACUUAGGAAUUGCAUUCGAUACUGGGAAGCUAGAGUAUGGGAGAGGAUGGUAGAAUUCCAGGUGUAGCGGUGAAAUGCGUAGAGAUCUGGAGGAAUACCGAUGGCGAAGGCAGCCAUCUGGCCUAAUACUGACGCUGAGGUACGAAAGCAUGGGGAGCAAACAGGAUUAGAUACCCUGGUAGUCCAUGCCGUAAACGAUGUCUACUAGCCGUUGGGGCCUUUGAGGCUUUAGUGGCGCA